rnacentral:piRNA from 1 species
UAAGACUCAAAAAAAGNGUUAAAGCAAGGU